rnacentral:rRNA from 1 species
UAAUACAUGCAAGUCGAGCGGAGCACUUCGGUGCUUAGCGGCGGACGGGUGAGUAACACGUAGGCAACCUGCCUGUAAGACCUGGGAUAACUAUCGGAAACGAUAGCUAAGACCGGAUAACUGGUUUUCUCGCAUGGGAGAAUCAUGAAACACGGAGCAAUCUGUGGCUUAUAGAUGGGCCUGCGGCGCAUUAGCUAGUUGGUGAGGUAACGGCUCACCAAGGCGACGAUGCGUAGCCGACCUGAGAGGGUGAACGGCCACACUGGGACUGAGACACGGCCCAGACUCCUACGGGAGGCAGCAGUAGGGAAUCUUCCGCAAUGGACGCAAGUCUGACGGAGCAACGCCGCGUGAGUGAUGAAGGUUUUCGGAUCGUAAAGCUCUGUUGCCCUAGACGAACAGCAUCAGGAGUAACUGCCUGGUGUGUGACGGUAUAGGAGAAGAAAGCCCCGGCUAACUACGUGCCAGCAGCCGCGGUAAUACGUAGGGGGCAAGCGUUGUCCGGAAUUAUUGGGCGUAAAGCGCGCGCAGGCGGUUAAUUAAGUUGGGUGUUUAAGCCCGGGGCUCAACCCCGGUUCGCAUCCAAAACUGGUUGACUUGAGUGUAGGAGAGGAAAGUGGAAUUCCACGUGUAGCGGUGAAAUGCGUAGAGAUGUGGAGGAACACCAGUGGCGAAGGCGAC